UCUUGAGUGUAGUAGUGGUUUGUGUGUUGGACUAUGACUCUAGAGACCAGGGUUCGAAUCCCGGCUCAGUCA